rnacentral:rRNA from 1 species
GUCGAGAAUUUUUCACAAUGGGGGAAACCCUGAUGGAGCGACGCCGCGUGGAGGAUGAAGGCCUUCGGGUUGUAAACUCCUGUCAUGCGGGAACAAGAAAGUGAUAGUACCGCAAGAGGAAGAGACGGCUAACUCUGUGCCAGCAGCCGCGGUAAUACAGAGGUCUCAAGCGUUGUUCGGAUUCAUUGGGCGUAAAGGGUGCGUAGGUGGCGAUGUAAGUCUAACGUGAAAUCUCGGGGCUCAACCCCGAAAUUGCGUCGGAUACUGCGUUGCUUGAGGAUUGUAGAGGAGAGUGGAAUUCACGGUGUAGCAGUGAAAUGCGUAGAUAUCGUGAGGAAGACCAGUUGCGAAGGCGACUCUCUGGGCAACUCCUGACACUGAGGCACGAAGGCUAGGGGAGCAAACGGGAUUAGAAACCCGAGUAGUCC